rnacentral:tRNA from 1 species
GCCCGGGUGGCGGAAUGGUAGACGCAGAGGACUUAAAAUCCUUUGGUAGCAAUACCGUGUGGGUUCGAGUCCCACCCUGGGCACCA